ACGAAGGGGGCUAGCGUUGUUCGGAAUUACUGGGCGUAAAGGGCGCGUAGGCGGCGCAUUAAGUCAGGUGUGAAAGCCCUGGGCUCAACCCAGGAAUUGCACUUGAUACUGAUGUGCUUGAAUCCGGAAGAGGAUGACGGAAUUCCCAGUGUAGAGGUGAAAUUCAUUGAUAUUGGGAAGAACACCAGUGGCGAAGGCGGUCAUCUGGUCCGGUAUUGACGCUGAGGCGCGAAAGCGUGGGGAGCGAACGGGA
rnacentral:rRNA from 1 species